rnacentral:rRNA from 1 species
GAUGAACGCUGGCGGCGUGCCUAACACAUGCAAGUCGAACGGAGCUGUCGGAGCUUGCUUUGACAGCUUAGUGGCGAACGGGUGAGUAACGCGUGAGCAACCUGCCCUUGAGAGGGGGAUAACAUCGGGAAACCGAUGCUAAUACCGCAUAAAAUAUGCAGAUGGCAUCAUUGGCAUAUCAAAGGAGAAAUCCGCUCAAGGAUGGGCUCGCGUCUGAUUAGAUAGUUGGUGAGGUAACGGCCCACCAAGUCGACGAUCAGUAGCCGGACUGAGAGGUUGACCGGCCACAUUGGGACUGAGACACGGCCCAGACUCCUACGGGAGGCAGCAGUGGGGAAUAUUGGGCAAUGGGGGGAACCCUGACCCAGCAACGCCGCGUGAAGGAAGAAGGCCUUCGGUUGUAAACUUCUUUGUACAGGGAAGAAGGAAGUGACGGUACCCUGAGAACAAGCUCCGGCUAACUACGUG